rnacentral:rRNA from 1 species
UACAGGGGGUGCAAACGUUGCUCGGAAUCACUGGGCGUAAAGGGCGCGUAGGCGGAUCUUUAAGUCGGGGGUGAAAGCCUGAGGCUCAACCUCAGAAUUGCCUUCGAUACUGGAGAUCUUGAGACCGGAAGAGGUAAGUGGAACUGCGAGUGUAGAGGUGAAAUUCGUAGAUAUUCGCAAGAACACCAGUGGCGAAGGCGGCUCACUGGCCCGGUACUGACGCUGAGGUGCGAAAGCGUGGGGAGCAAACAGG